ensembl:lncRNA
ACAGUACAUAGAGAGAACAAUACAGUAUGUAGACAGUACAAUACAGUACAAUACAAGAACAAUACAAUACAUAGACAGUACAAUACAGUACAUAGACAGUACAAUACAAUACAUAGUACCAUACAGUACAAUACAGUACAUAGACAGUACAAUACAAUACAUAGACAGUACCAUACAGUACAAUACAAGUACAAUACAGUACAUAGACAGUACAAUACAAUACAUAGACAGUACCAUACAGUACAAUACAGUACAUAGACAGUACCAUACAGUACAAUACAGUACAUAGACAGUACAAUACAGUACAUAGAGAGAACAAUACAGUAUGUAGACAGUACAAUACAGUACAUAGACAGUACAAUACAGUACAAUACAGUACAUAGACAGUACCAUACAGUACAAUACAGUACAUAGACAGUACAAUACAAUACAUAGAGAGAACAAUACAGUACAUAGAGAGUACAAUACAGUACAUAGACAGUACAAUACAAUACAUAGUACCAUACAGUACAAUACAGUACAUAGACAGUACAAUACAAUACAUAGACAGUACCAUACAGUACAAUACAAUACAUAGACAGUACAAUACAAUACAUAGACAGUACCAUACAGUACAAUACAAUACAUAGACAGUACAAUGCUGUACAUAUACAGUACAAUACAGUACAUUGACAGAACAAUACAGUACAUACAGUAUACAUAAAAUGUGCAAUACAGUACAAUACAGUACAUAGACAGUAAAAUAUAGUACAUAGACAGUAAAAUACAGUACAUAGACAGUACAAUAAGUACAAUGCAGUACAUAGACUGUACAAUACAAUACAUAAUUAGUACAAUACAGUACAUACAGUAUACAUAAAAUGUGCAAUACAGUACAAUACAGUACAUAGAGAGUACAAUACAGUAUGUAGACAGUACAAUACAGUACAUAGAGAGUACAAUACAGUAUGUAGACAGUACAAUACAGUACAUAGACAGUACAAUACAGUACAUAGACAGUACAAUACAAUACAUAGACAGUACCAUAUAGUACAAUACAGUACAUAGACAGUACAAUACAGUACAUAGACAGUACAAUACAAUACAUAGACAGUACCAUAUAGUACAAUACAAUACAUAGACAGUACCAUAUAGUACAAUACAAUACAUAGAC